rnacentral:rRNA from 1 species
UGUGACCUCAAAUCAGGUAGGACUACCCGCUGAACUUAAGCAUAUCAAUAAGCGGAGGAAAAGAAACUAACAAGGAUUCCCCUAGUAACUGCGAGUGAAGCGGGAAAAGCUCAAAUUUAAAAUCUGGCGGUCUUUUGGCCGUCCGAGUUGUAAUCUAGAGAAGUGUUAUCCGCGCUGGACCGUGUACAAGUCUCCUGGAAUGGAGCAUCAUAGAGGGUGAGAAUCCCGUCUUUGACAUGGACUGCCAGGGCUUUGUGAUGCGCUCUCAAAGAGUCGAGUUGUUUGGGAAUGCAGCUCAAAAUGGGUGGUAAAUUCCAUCUAAAGCUAAAUAUUGGCGAGAGACCGAUAGCGAACAAGUACCGUGAGGGAAAGAUGAAAAGAACUUUGGAAAGAGAGUUAAACAGUACGUGAAAUUGCUGAAAGGGAAACGCUUGAAGUCAGUCACGUCAUCCAGGGAUCAACCUUGCUUUUGCUUGGUGCACUUCCUGGUUUGAUGGGUCAGCAUCAAUUUUGGCCGCUGGAAAAAGGCUGAGGGAAUGUGGCAUCUUCGGAUGUGUUAUAGCCCUUAGUCACAUACAGUGGCUGGGAUUGAGGAACUCAGCACGCCGCAAGGCCGGG